UCCCUGAGACCCUAACUUGUGAGUUGGUUGCCCUGUCACUGGUUAGGCUCUUGGGAACC
rnacentral:pre_miRNA from 1 species